CUGACCACUCUGCAGUGAGCAAUAUGUGCCUCUAGAGGGAGCAUUGAAGUUUUUUUUUUUUUUUUUUUUCCUAGCGAAGUGACACGCACCAGGCUCCAGCUUCCCCACUAGCUAAAGGGCAGCGAGCAGCCAGGACUGGCAACAGGGAGCAGAGGCUUCUAGCCCAAACCUCACUCACAGAGCCAGCAGGAGUGCAAAGCAGCAGGCUUAUCCAAGGGCUGAGAUCCAAGGCAGCUCAGCAGAGGAAGCAGCCAGAGAGAGCUGAGCAGGGAUCCCUGGUGACAGCUGACAGGGGAGGAGGAAAGAGGGGCUUGUUGAUCAGUGGACCUGCCUGGGACAUACAGGACCUGGUUUCCAACAUCAGGGCUGCUGCAGCUUUCCUUAUACAGAAGAUCCAGGCAGUGCUGAACAAGUCAUGUAAAUGACAGCAAGAAGUAUCUGUAACACGUCUGUUCACUACCCAUGUACUUUUAUUUCAAAAAUGUACGCUCAGUCUCUCGUGGGAUUUUUAGGAUCGAAUAACUAAAAGGUAA